UCGAGAAUUUUUCUCAAUGGGGGCAACCCUGAAGGAGCGACGCCGCGUGGAGGAUGAAGGUCUUCGGAUUGUAAACUCCUGUCAUUUGGGAACAAGGUGCACCCGUUAACUGCGUGUGCAUUGAUAGUACCAGAAGAGGAAGAGACGGCUAACUCUGUGCCAGCAGCCGCGGUAAUACAGAGGUCUCAAGCGUUGUUCGGAUUCAUUGGGCGUAAAGGGUGCGUAGGUGGCGGGGCAAGUCAGGUGUGAAAUCCCGGGGCUUAACUCCGGAACUGCAUUUGAUACUGCCUUGCUGGAGUACUGGAGAGGAGACUGGAAUUUACGGUGUAGCAGUGAAAUGCGUAGAGAUCGUAAGGAAGACCAGUGGCGAAGGCGAGUCUCUGGACAGUUACUGACACUGAGGCACGAAGGCCAGGGGAGCAAACGG
rnacentral:rRNA from 1 species